rnacentral:rRNA from 1 species
ACGUAGGUGGCAAGCGUUGUCCGGAUCUAUUGGGCGUAAAGCGAGCGCAGGCGGAUUCUUAAGUCUGAUGUGAAACCCUUUGGCUCAACAGAAGAAGCGCAUUGGACACUGGGAAACUUGAGUGCAGAAGAGGACAGUGGAACUCCAUGUGUAGCGGUGAAAUGCGUAGAUAUAUGAAAGAACGCCAUUAGCGAAGGCGACUGUGUGGUCUGGAACUGACGCUAAGGCUCGAAAGCAUGGGUAGCAAACAG